GGGGUCACUUGGGGUCCCAUUUUGGGGUCCCAUUUUGGGGUCCCAUUUUGGGGUCCCAUUUUGGGGUCCCUGGGGUUUGGGGUCCCUGGGGUUUGGGGUCCCUGGGGUUUGGGGUCCCUGGGGUUUGGGGUCCCGUUUUGGGGUCCCGUUUUGGGGUCCCAUUUUGGGGUCCCUGGGGUUUGGGGUCCCAUUUUGGGGUCAUAUUUUAUGGUCCCAUUUGGGGUCAUUCUGGGGUCCCUGGGGUUUGGGGUCCCAAUUUUGGGGUCCCAAUUUGGAGUCAUUUUGGGGUCCCUUUUUGGGGUCUCUCGGGGUCAUAUUUUGGGGUCACUCGUGGUCCCAUUUUGGGGUCCCUGGGGUUUGGGGUCCCAAUUUUGGGGUCCCAAUUUGGAGUCAUUUUGGGGUCCCUCUUUGGGGUCACUCGGGGUCCCAUUUUGGGGUCACUCGGGGUCCCAUUUUGGGGUCGUUUUGGGGUGACGUUUUGGGGUGUCCCCGCAGCCGGCCCCGUCAUCAUGUCGCUGGAGGAGAAGAUGGAGGCCGACGCGCGCUCCAUCUACGUCGGCAA
rnacentral:lncRNA from 1 species